UAUAAAAUUACGAAAACAGUUUAAAUAUAUUAUAUUUCUACCAGUCGUAUGCCAACGACCAUACCACGUUGAAUACACCAGUUCUCGUCCGAUCACUGAAGUUAAGCAACGUCGGGCGUAGUUAGUACUUGGGUGGGUGACCGCUUGGGAACACUACGUGCCGUUGGCUCCUUUUUUUAUUUCUCGAUUAUUACUUUAUUUUAAAUAUAUUAAAACUUAAAAUAUUUAGUAUUUAAUACGAUUUUUUAACGUCUAAAUUAGAUUUCCAUUUUUAUAGACAAAAGUACCGCA